rnacentral:rRNA from 1 species
UACAGAGGGGGCGAGCGUUGUUCGGAAUUACUGGGCGUAAAGGGCGCGUAGGCGGCCUUCUAAGUCAGACGUGAAAUCCCCCGGCUUAACCUGGGAACUGCGUCUGAUACUGGGAGGCUUGAGUAUGGGAGAGGGAUGUAGAAUUCCAGGUGUAGCGGUGAAAUGCGUAGAUAUCUGGAGGAAUACCGGUGGCGAAGGCGGCAUCCUGGACCAUUACUGACGCUGAGGCGCGAAAGCUAGGGGAGCAAACGGG